AUCAGAAUCACCUGGAGGGCUUGUUAAAACACAGAUGUCUGGCUUCCACCCCAUUCAAGGGUCUGAUGUGCGGUAUGAUCAUUUGCAUUUCUAACAAAUUCCCAGGUGAUGCUGAU
rnacentral:pre_miRNA from 1 species